GCCUGAUGGAGCGUCAGGAUAAGGAUGGGCUUGGGACGCGCUAAGCCUCCAGGAGAGCUCCAAGGUUGGUGAAGUCACACCCUAGGCACCGCAGCCAGGACUACACUUCCCAGAAGCCCAAUCUCGCGCGAUCUUGGGCAGUUCUACGGGUGCUGGCGGGAGAGUCCCGGGUAGAGAAAUACUUGGGCGUCCUGUUGCUGUCAGUCCCUCCUCCUGGACUUUCCAUGAGGAGGUUGGCUCACACCACCUAUGACGCAAUCCUCAGUGCUCCUGAACUCCUCGACUUGUGUCUCCCUGAAAAUCACUUUGCGGUGGAACUUAUCCUUCGAGGCCGGGCCAGGUGCAAGGCGCGAGAGGGCUCUGGACUAUGUGUGCGCGAGAGGUACCGCUCACCAGCCUCCUGCUCUCUGUCUUAGCACACAGUAGAAGAAAUUUGGCUUACCUCGAUGAAAGAGAGCUAUCAAAUACACAGAGAAGACAGCCUGAGUGAUCUUGUCCUAAGGGUAUCUACCUGAUGGAUGUUGGGUCCUUACAGCAGGGAGAAGAUGCACUCAUCUUUGUAUUUCUAGCACCUCUCACAGGACUGGAAAAGCUGGCCAUCAGAUAAAUGUAAGUGAAGGUGGUGCAAAAGGACUUUAUAGAUGCUGAAGGCAUGUCAUUGCUGACCAGGAUGUUUUCUACAGUAAUUCCAAGCUAGAAUGGGGCUGCCUUUUUUAAGAGAUCUCAGGAAUUAUCCUGGGAAAUUUUAGACAAGGCAAAUGAAGUGGAGUGAAACUUAAAAUGUACAAUAGUCAUUUUUCCAUAAAUGGUCUCUGUGUGUAUAAAAGACAAUAUCUUAUAUGUUAUGCUACCAAUGCAUAUUGCAAUAAUACAGGUGACCUUUUAAGAAUACAUUACGUGGUUACUUGUUAAGUAUCUAUUGUCUUUAGAGGUACGUCCGGGAAUUUUAAAAGGUGCACUUCUAAAAAAAUAAAUUUAAUUGAUGUAGCACAUUUGAGAACUAUUCAUAACAGCAAAACUUUAGAAUUAGUGUACACAGUAUUCUUUUAUAUAUCAAUUAAUGUGCAGCUAGUAUCAAUCAAACAAUAUAACUGCAUAUGUAUUAUGUGCAAGAUAUGGAUGGCUUCAAGUGUUUUACGUGGAUUGUAUUAUUUUACAAAAUGUUAUCCCUGACUUGUAAAUGUAAAACUGAAGGAACAGAGACUACAGGAAACUUGAUGGUGCAUAUUUCACUGUGAAAAUUGUUUC